rnacentral:snRNA from 1 species
AUCUCUCACUCGAUUUUCUCGCUCAAAUUUACAGUGCCUUUUCUUAUAAGUUACAGUGUAAUUUAUGAAACUUACACUGUAACUUUUGUUAGUUACACUGUAAUUUUUGAAUCUUCGCAUGUAAAUUUUAAAUUUUGUAUUGGAUUUGAUCUUUUUCUUGAGGAUAUGGUAAUUUAGUGUCCAUUAUGGUGUUUCUUA